UUCUCCAUCCAUCUCAUUUAAAAAUACCUAUUUUCCCUCACUUUUCUCUUUCUUUCUCCUCCUCUCUCCCGAAACCCUAGCACUUUAGAAUAGCAUAUUCUCCCUUCAAGAUCCUCCUUUCUCUCACAUCAGAUUUGUUCUCUCUCCAUACCCAACCAAGACCUGUCCUUCCAUCUUCCUCUUAAGCUUUCAACAUCCUUGCACUAAGAUUGAAACAAAGAUGGUCGAACGGGAAGAAAAUAGUAGAAAAAUGUUGUUGUUUAUAAUGUUUAAAUCAAAUCGGAAGACUCUGUGUUUCAUCAUACGUGUUCGAUGAAAGGUCUCCGCCGAAAAUGCCUCUCUGUGCUUUCUGUGUAUUCCUGUUUGCAGGAAGAAGCGAUAGAGAAAAGGAGAGCAAUGAUGCACCAGGAUCUCGAAAACCUGUGAAACGAAAGUGUGACAAAUUGAGUUAUAGUUUUCUCUUUGUCUAAGUCUGUAACUUACAGUGAUGGUUGCUUCUCUCUACUGAAGCAAAGACGCAUUAAUGUGGCGUGGAUUAAUGGUUUAGUUCUUAACCAUUUAAUUGAACGUGCAAAAGAAGAAUGCUGAGUUGGAUGAAGAAAACAAGAAAACAAGUUUAAAGCUUCUACAGCGAGAACAUGACAAAGUGGGCAAAACACAAAUUUCUAGCUCAACAUUGUUGUAACAAAACCUUUAAACUAGCUUUAUUUAAUGGUAUUCCUUCUGUUAAGUUUUAGGGGACUUAUGCCUUAACUAGCUGUUUUUUUGUACAGGGUUAUCAUGUAGCUUUUGCGGAAAUACAAUCCCCACGUUUUCCGCAAAUCCUUAGACUUACAAGUCACAGGCAUAAGAGACUUACAUUGCACUUUUUAAUUGGUUGAUCAUUACAGGAAAAUCAUUCAAGUCUGUUUCGUGUAUAUAUUGAAUGGAGUGUCAGGGCUGGAAAUUUAAGAAAUAUUGAUUCUGUUCGAGUAUCGGUCCCCUGCCACAUUAAAAUAUGUUGAUUCAAAGAAAUGGGAAUAUAAAACCAUCACUAGAUUUUGAUGAUAAAGAUUAUGACAAUGUUCCUUUUACACCGAAGGAGCUCAAAGGGACAUCUCUGGAUUUUGAAAUCAAAUUCAUAUUUAUUAUCACCCAUCCUGAGUUGGAGCCUUUGUGAUUGAAAUGUUAGAAUUUUUGCAUAUCUCAGUUUGUGGUGAUGUUCACUGGCGGCGGUGGCAAAGUAAAGGUUGAUCCAAAGUUGUAUUCAGUUAAAUUAAACUAACAUGGAGAAGAAUUUAAAUGGAGAAGAAUUUAAAUAGAAGAAUAAUAGUGAUACACAAGAGUUCCAACUGCGUUGUGUUGAGGAUGGAGAGAUGUUCGGAAGAGUUCUAACUGUUUUCUUUUGAUAAUGGAAAACACAAGUCUCGCAUAGAAGAUAUAAAACUGAAAAGAUA